GUUGCUUGGUUACGGCUUUCUGGGUGCAAUUCGCGCGGCUAAAGCAGAUGCCUUUCCUGGUGCUAGCAGGAGCGCUCACACACCCCCACUCCUCUACCCCCUCCAACCGUUGCUAGAGGGGAGGACCCAGAGCCUGGAGGCCAGGUCCUUUAACCUUCCUUACGACUCCUCCCGGCAGGGCUCGGCCUAAAGCUCAAGGCGGAGCGCUGGACUUCUUAGACUAGGGAUGUCAGCAAGUUUGUCGGAGCAGAGACGCUCCAGAAAAGGAAUGGAGCUGACACCAUAUCCACAUCCCCCUAAGAGGACUGCAUCAACUCUUCUGGACACUGUCUUCCCACCUUGAUGCCCUGUGCUGUACAGCUUCUGAGAAUGACACACAGGGAACUUCACCCUGACCAGGAAAAUCAAGGCUCUGAGAACUAGUUUAUUUUCUUGGAACAGAUAUGUUUUUCCCUAGUGCCAUAGAAAACAAUACAUAUAAAUAAAAAGGCAGUGUUUCUGUGGAAAAUAAAAGUACAUAAAUAAAUACUAAAAAAAAAAA